GACUAGUGACAGAGAGAGGGAGGGGGUGACUAGUGACAGAGUGAGGGAGGUGGUGAUUAGUGACACAGGGAGGGAUGGGGUGACUAGUGACAGUCACCACCUCCUUCACUCUGUCACUAGUCACCCCCUCCCUCACUCUAUCACUGUGUCA